GAUCUCCGGCCGGGGCCUCGCGGUAACGUCUGAUGCGGUGCAGGGAACACCGGUGCGAAUCCGGGGCUGUCCCGCAACUGUCACCGAGGAGCGAUCCGUCAUGCGUGGCCACGACCUACCGAGGUUGGAAGGCCGGCGGAAAGCGUCGAUCCGGGAGCCAGGACACCUGCGCCGCGCAUCGGGUGACC
rnacentral:ncRNA from 1 species